UCAUCUAAUCACUGAAGUUAAGCAAUGUUGAGCCUGGUUAUUACCUAGAUGGGUGACUACUUGGGAAUACCAGGUGCUGUAAU